rnacentral:rRNA from 1 species
ACGGAGAGAUUCAUCGUCACUCCGCGGCGCCACGGCGUCGGAUGGGCGCGGCCUCGGUCGCGCACACCGUGUCGCGUCGUGCGUGUCCGCGGACGGCGUGCACUUCUCUCUUAGUAAUACAUCGCGACCCGUUCGACGUCGGUCUAAGUGCCUCGGGAGUCGGCGUGGAUACCGCACCGACCGUCGCGUCGGACGGUACUAACGAAACGCUCACGCGCGCGCGUCCGGCCCGACGCAAGGUACGUCCGCGGCCCGCGUCCUGCCCGAGUGCGGACGCGGGUUCGGCGCGCCUGUCGUCGCAGCCGUGCUGUCUCGGACCGUGUGCGUAUCCGUCUGCGAUGAUUCAGUUUCGGGCACUCGCAGGACCCGUCUUGA